CAACGAUUUGAUGAUAGCUGCCCUGUUCAAGUGCAUAAUGAACUCAGGAAAUAACACACUUCUGUAACAGAUUAGAUGAUAUAUUCAGUAAUAAUAGUGCAAAAAUGUUAACACCGCAAAAAUUACCACAUGCAAACCAAAUAGUAAUGAUAUUUUAACAUUUUUAUGCAACAUAAAUGAAUAAGUAACUUGAUCUUGGGCUACACCAAAAAAAAAUGAAUUCAGGGAAGGAUAGUUGGAGAUAUGAAAAAGCAAAUAAAAUUACCUAGGUGGCUUUUCCAUGAAAUCAAACCCAAUGAUAUCAUCAACACCUAGAGC
rnacentral:misc_RNA from 1 species